rnacentral:rRNA from 1 species
UACAGAGGGUGCAAGCGUUAAUCGGAAUUACUGGGCGUAAAGCGUGCGUAGUCGGUUAUCUAAGUCGGGUGUGAAAUCCCCGGGCUCAACCUGGGAAUUGCAUUCGAUACUGGAUAGCUAGAGUUCGGCAGAGGGAAGCGGAAUUUCGGGUGUAGCGGUGAAAUGCGUAGAUAUCCGAAGGAACAUCAGUGGCGAAAGCGGCUUCCUGGACCAGAACUGACGAUCAGGCACGAAAGCGUGGGGAGCAGACAGG